UAUUCUCAAUCCAUUCUGGGUUUUUGAAAAGAAACUUGUUUGGAAUUGGACUUGGAGGCUUUCUGUUGGUUACACUUUGUUAAUCGACUCCUCUAAAAUGCAUUAGCAGGAACGAAGUGCCAUCUUCAGUGUGAUAAUUAUCUGCACUGUGGAAUGGUGCUCGGAAGUUCUGGCUUCUAAUUGUCUAUUCUCUUAGACAUUCUUUAUGAC
rnacentral:misc_RNA from 1 species